rnacentral:lncRNA from 1 species
AAAACUACAUUUGGUUAAAAAGAUGUGUUUGUAGGUUUUCUACUCUACCAUCAUAUGUGAGGAACUGUCAUAAAAAAAUUCCAACCAAACAACCCUACAGCUUAAAUUGAACUGGAAGUAAAUUCUCUGAAGACGGAUGUUAAUAACUCAGUUUCUUCUGUUGUAAGGAAGAAUACAUUUGAAAUGAAACAGGAUAUUGCUGGAAGUAGAGUGAAAUACAAUUGCAUUUCUAGGAUGUUAGACUUACUUUUCUACUGAACUUCAAGUAUUGAAAAGGUAUGUUUAGUCUCUGAAAUAUAAAGUUAUCUAAAAGGGGUUUUUUGUUACUGCUUUCUGGUUUUAAGCUAUAAAAUGCAAAAAAAUGCUCUAAU